rnacentral:rRNA from 1 species
CAGUCGCCGCGGUAAUUCGUAGGGUGCGAGCGUUAAUCGGAAUUACUGGGCGUAAAGCGUGCGCAGGCGGUUGUGUAAGACAGGUGUGAAAUCCCCGGGCUUAACCUAGGAACUGCGCUUGUGACUGCACAGCUAGAGUAUGGCAGAGGGGGGUGGAAUUCCACGUGUAGCAGUGAAAUGCGUAGAGAUGUGGAGGAACACCGAUGGCGAAGGCAGCCCCCUGGGCCAAUACUGACGCUCAUGCACGAAAGCGUGGGGAGCAAACAGGAUUAGAUACCCCCGUAGUCCCUGUCUCUUAUAC